rnacentral:rRNA from 1 species
UACGAAGGGGGCUAGCGUUGUUCGGAAUUACUGGGCGUAAAGCGCGUGUAGGCGGGCCGUUUAGUUGGGGGUGAAAGCCCAGAGCUCAACUCUGGAAUUGCCUUCGAUACUGGCGGCCUGGAGCAUGAUAGAGGCGAGUGGAAUUGCGAGUGUAGAGGUGAAAUUCGUAGAUAUUCGCAGGAACACCAGUGGCGAAGGCGACUCGCUGGAUCAUUGCUUACGCUGAGACGCGAAAGCGUGGGGAGCAAACAGG